rnacentral:rRNA from 1 species
UACGAAGGGGGCUAGCGUUGCUCGGAAUCACUGGGCUUAAAGGGCGCGUAGGCGGACUCGCCAGUCUGUGGUGAAAGCCCCCAGCUUAACUGGGGAAGUGCCGUGGAUACUGCGAGUCUGGAGGAGGGUAGGGGCAUCUGGAACGCUGGGUGGAGCGGUGAAAUGCGUUGAUAUCCAGCGGAACUCCGGUGGCGAAGGCGAGGUGCUGGACCCUUUCUGACGCUGAGGCGCGAAAGCCAGGGGAGCAAACGGG